CUCCAAGCUUAAAACAAAUUCAGGUAACUUUUCUUCCUUGCUAGCUAGGAGUAUUAACAAUGUUUCUAUUCAGUAUUUUGACUUUUUUUCUUAAUUUUCUAUUAGAGCAAUCAUUUAGUUCAACUUUUGGACAGUGAGAUAGAAAACAAACUAAAACUUCAUUUUGAAUCAUUUCACAUAACCCUAAGUCUGAUACAAUUGGCUAUGCAAAUAAUGUUCAAUAAUGUUCUUGUGAUUUUGAUUGAUUAAUGUUGCUCAUUACUGAAGAUAGUUUCCUUUCAAAUAAUGUUCAACAUAAUAUAGUUUAUAUUUAGACAUUCAAUAAAUAAUUCAUAUACAUUAUUUGAGUACGUGUUAAGUUAGUUCUCUGCUGACCAAUAUUUUGAUUUUUCUUUUUUUGUUGAUAAGGAUGAAAUUAAGAGAAGAUGAUAUUCCCCUGGAAGAUUAUGAGAGGCAGCCGAGAGGUUCAAAGUGAAUGUGGAUCCCACUUCAAGUGUAAAAGAAAGAAAAAAAAAUAGAAAAGACCCAUGGAGUUAUUUCUUUGGUCUUCACGACCCCUGGUUUUUUAUUCUCGAGUUUUUCAAGUUAAAAUUGAGGUGUUCUUAUUUAUAGUUUUUACUUUUUUUUAUUAUAGCUUGUUGGUGUUGACUGUGCUAGAUAAUUUGUUUGUUCAAGUUCCACAAAAAAGAGACAAUUUAAACAUUUCCGUAUAUUUUGUUGUGCACUAUAUUCCGCUGUGCACUCUGGUCCAUCUAUUAUUAUAUUAU
rnacentral:lncRNA from 1 species